rnacentral:lncRNA from 9 species
AUUCCAAAGAGGACCUUCAGUGGGCAGAGUAGGUGGGCGAGGCUUCUGCUGCUGAAGGUCGCGGAGCCCUUCCGUUUGCCUCUCUCCCGGAUGCUUCUCCUCCUGUUUGCGCUUGCGGAAGGGGUGAAGGUGGGAGGACCACCACGCUGUUGAAGGUUAUGUCUGAGUGUGUGAGCAUCCAGAAUUCCUGUGGGCUUCUAGGGCACAUUUGCUUAGAGCUCCUAGUUUGGUUAGUUAGGUGGUGAUCUUUAACGAGUUAGAAGACAACCUACCUUCAAAGCAAAUGUUUCUGCCAAUGAGGAGUCAGGAAGCGACCACAAGUUCUGCUCUUGAAGAGAAGGCUAGGAUGGGCCUCAGUGAUAAAAGGUGCCGUGGAAAACAAAGUGUAAUCAAAAGAUGAAAGCUGAAACAGAAAAAUUAAAAGAAGAAAUAAAAGAAAAGUCAACACCCUUUUGUGUGAAAUGUGGGAUAGUUAAACCAUAUCGCAUUCUUAUCCUCGUCUGCACUUUCAGUGGUUCUGCCCUUCUGUGGUGGGCCUUCAGCCUCUCCACCUGGGUGAGGAUAGAAAUCCCAAGUGGCUCCCAAGUCCUUUUCAGCGCUCUUUUUGCAAUAUGCAGUGGUGAGAUCAAGUGUUGGAUUCCACUAUCAAAAUCAAGUAUCUGUGUGUUCCUUGCAUUACUGCUGCACUCUCUGCAUGUUUUGAAAGUAACCAACUUAUGCAAGGAUGCGAAAAUCACCUUUCUCUACCCUACUUUCAUCCUUUCAUUCAGCGCCAUACUAUUUUUCUUAUCUGGAAUCCUCUGCUUAUUCAGCUCCCAUCAUUGUUGGCUUCAGUGCGUCUUACAGCAACCAAUCCAAGUGAAACCUAUGCAAAUGUCAGUGGUCAGUGGGAACUCAGCAAUGGUCACAGAAAGGACACCGGGUAGAGAUGGCUAGCCUAACCUCAGUGGUGGUGAGAAAGCUGAUUUUAGAAGAAACAUGUCUCACCUGUAAUUCAAGAUUUCACAGCUAUACACACACUCAUUUAAUUACUGCAUAAGACUGGAAAGAGUUGGCUGGUUACUAAUCAUUGUUCAAGAUAUGGCUUAGGAUUCCGGGGACUUAGAUAUUCAUAAGAGAGAAAACACAGUUGGGGUGUGGGGAAGUUGAGUGUUUGGCUCUUGGGGACUUGAAAUGAAAAAAACUUCUCUUCACCUUGAAGAUUCUUCUCUUGGCACCCAUUUCCCAACCCUCUUGCUGGUAUGCCUGGUCUCCUGGCAGUGGUUUUUUUUAGCAGUAACAAAACUCUCUCUCCACUAUAAAGCCUGAGUUUGAUAAAAACAAAUUUUUUUUCUGCUCUCUGGGAAUUUCAUGAGUGGAAUCUUUUCACUACUGUGUUAUUCGGGACUCUUUUUUUUUUUUUUUUUUUGCAUGUAACAAACCUUAUCCAAACUACCUUCAACAAAAAUUGAAUUUAUUGGAUGCAGGGGUUACCUCAUAGACUCAAAAAAGUUCUGGUAGAAUCAGGGCUACAUGAGAGAGUUGGGGAGCUGGAAUCUUGAGAUCAUUUCCUCAGGAUACUAUUUUUUUAAACUAUCCACUGAAGGUUAAUGGAAUUUCUCAAUCCUUAAAAUGGAAGCACUAUCCUAAAUUCCUCUUGCUCAUCACUUUCAAUGAAUCACCAAAGCUUGUCCUUUCCACCUCAACAAGACUUCCGUUCCCCUCCCUGAGCCCUCCUCACUGGUCAUCGUGACCAGGUCUUUGUCAUCCCUGCCCAGACUGUGUCGUCUCUGAAUGUGGCUUGUCCCCCACUGUGGCCUACCUCUGCGAAGCUGCCCAGCUCGAGCUUCCUAAAAUACAGAGAUGAGAAUGUGCUCCUUAAAAGCCUAUUUUGCCUUCUUCUGGCCUUCAGGAUAAAUUCCUUAUCUUGAUAAAUAAAGUUAUUUACAAGUUGGCAU